UACGUAGGGGGCAAGCGUUAUCCGGAUUUACUGGGUGUAAAGGGAGCGCAGGCGGCACGGCAAGCCUGAUGUGAAAGCCCGCGGCCCAACCGCGGGACUGCAUUGGGAACUACCGGGCUGGAGUGCCGGAGAGGUAGGCGGAAUUCCUAGUGUAGCAGUGAAAUGCGUAGAUAUUAGGAGGAACACCAGUGGCGAAGGCGGCCUACUGGACGGUGACUGACGCUGAGGCUCGAAAGCGUGGGGAGCAAACAGG
rnacentral:rRNA from 1 species